rnacentral:rRNA from 1 species
UACAGAGGUCUCAAGCGUUGUUCGGAUUCACUGGGUUUAAAGGGUGCGUAGGUGGGUUGGUAAGUCAGUGGUGAAAUCUCCGUGCUUAACAUGGAAACUGCCAUUGAUACUACUGAUCUUGAAUUUUCAGGAGGUAAACGGAAUAUGUCAUGUAGCGGUGAAAUGCUUAGAUAUGACAUAGAACACCAAUUGCGAAGGCAGCUUACUACAGGAAUAUUGACACUGAUGCACGAAAGCGUGGGAUCAAACAGG